GAUUCCAUAGCUCAGCUGGUUAGAGUGUAGUGCUAAUAACGCCAGAGUCGAGGGUUUCCCUCUGGAAACA
rnacentral:tRNA from 3 species